GACGAACGCUGGCGGCGUGCUUAACACAUGCAAGUCGAGCGGUAAGGCCCUUUCGGGGGUACACGAGCGGCGAACGGGUGAGUAACACGUGGGUGACCUGCCUUUAGCUCUGGGAUAAGCCUGGGAAACUGGGUCUAAUACCGGAUAUGACUCCAUGAUGCAUGUUGUGGGGUGGAAAGCCUUGUGCGGCUGGAGAUGGGCCCGCGGCCUAUCAGCUUGUUGGUGGGGUGANGGCCUACCAAGGCGACGACGGGUAGCCGGCCUGAGAGGGCGACCGGCCACACUGGGACUGAGACACGGGCCCAGACUCCUACGGGAGGCAGCAGUGGGGAAUCUUGCGCAAUGGGCGAAAGCCUGACGCAGCGACGCCGCGUGAGGGAUGACGGCC
rnacentral:rRNA from 1 species